GUGCCAGCAGCCGCGGUAAUACGGAGGGUGCAAGCGUUAUCCGGAUUUACUGGGUUUAAAGGGUGUGUAGGCGGACUUUUAAGUCAGCGGUGAAAUCUCCGGGCUCAACCCGGAAACUGCCAUUGAUACUAUUAGUCUUGAAUAUUGUUGAGGUAGGCGGAACGGGUCAUGUAGCGGUGAAAUGCAUAGAUAUGACCCGGAACACCGAUUGCGAAGGCAGCCUACUAAGCAAUUAUUGACGCUGAGGCACGAAAGCGUGGGGAUCAAACAGGAUUAGAAACCCCCGUAGUCC
rnacentral:rRNA from 1 species